AUCAGUACUGGAGUUUUUGAAAAAAAUGGAAGGAAAAUGGGAUCAAAAUCAUCAAACAUGAAUGCCAGUUCAGGAUUUGCAGAAAUGAAAGUGUCUUGUAGUUCAAGAAUAAAACAAGAAUAAACACGCGGAGAAUAGAAAUUGAAAAACAGCCACUUGAAGUCGAAACUGAUUUAAGACGACGAGUGUGUCGUCAGUACUUCAAGAAAUAAUUUGCUACCCUACAAGCCGUUGUCUAUUCAUUGGGAGGAAAAAUUGAAGAUGAAAGCUUGAAAAGCCGAGGCAAAUACCUUAUGAGAAAUUUCUUUGAAGACAGCUGCAUGCAU